AUUGAACGCUGGCGGCAUGCUUUACACAUGCAAGUCGGACGAGUGGCGAACGGGUGAGUAACGCAUCGGAACGUACCGAGUAAUGGGGGAUAACUGUCCGCAAGGACAGCUAAUCCCGCAUAUUAUUCGAGCGGCCGAUGUCUUAUUAGCUGGUUGGCGGGGUAAAGGCCCACCACGGCGACGAUCAGUAGAGGGUCUGAGAGGCUGAUCCGCAACACUGGGACUGAGACAAGGCCCAGACUCCUACGUGAGGAAGCAGUGGGGAAUUUUGGACAAUGGGCGCAAGCCUGAUUCAGCCAUGCCGCGUGUCUGAAGAAGGCCUUCGGGUUGUAAAGCACUUUAAGUUGGGAGGCGUUACCAACAGAAUAAGCACCGGCUAACUUCGUGCCAGCAGCCGCGGUAAUUC
rnacentral:rRNA from 1 species